rnacentral:rRNA from 1 species
UACGGAGGGAGCUAGCGUUGUUCGGAAAUACUGGGCGUAAAGCGCACGUAGGCGGCGCAGCAAGUCAGGGGUGAAAUCCCGGGGCUCAACCCCGGAACUGCCUCUGAAACUGCAGUGCUAGAAUCUUGGAGAGGCGAGUGGAAUUCCGAGUGUAGAGGUGAAAUGCGUAGAUAUCAGGAGGAAUACCGGUGGCGAAAGCGACUCUCUGGACGGCAACUGACGCUGAGGCACGAAAGCGUGGGGAGCGAACAGG